AAUUUAACGGGUAUUCUGGUGCUUGCGGAGCUUUUGUGUCUUUUUCAAUUGUUUCUUUUAUAGUAUUUACAUGUGUAAUCAAUAAUCAAUUAAGCAAUCCAGUCAAUCGUAUGAAAUUGUAUCGAACAAGUGUUCGCACAGUGUAAAUAAUCGUCGUUUUUGAUCAGCGAAUUACAAUGUAAGUCCCGGAUGACGGAAUUGCAAUGUAUAGUACUUGUCGUCCCGAACGUGGAAGCUUUUGUUGCAAUUUUUUUUUUGAAUAAGACAAACCCGUGAAAGGAUUUAAUUAAGAAUGGAGUUCUCUAUAUAGAAAAAAAACAGAUCCCGAGUUUCAUUGGGGACUUCAUUGAAAAAGCAUCGUAGUCAAUUAACAAGGGCAUAUAAAGGAUCAAAAAUAAAAAAAAAGUCGAACAUCAAACAAUCCAAUCAGCCCGGAAUGAGUAAUUGAGUAAUCAAACUUUUCGAAAUCAAAUUUUGUACUCAACUUGUAUCACACAUAUUUCGUGUCACGAAAUUGGUGCAUAAAGCAUUCGGAUGCGCCUCUAUUUCUCCCCCAAAAUACUUGCAGUUGCUGAUAUCGAAAUAAUAGAGGGUGUGAUCUACCAGUAUUUGCAAAGAGUGACAAAGAGAGGAGAGAACUGUAUUCUCAUGACAGGUUGAGUCACAUUGAAAACCGUUUGAGCUUCAAAUUCAAAAACACUCACCUAUAUAAGGCGGAGGAAUAAAAUUUCAAUAAAAUCUGGAUACCUGAAAAAUGUUGACAAUGUGAUAUGGUAGUCCUAAUCCUGACAAACUUAUUUGGAACGUAUACUCUCUGACCGAGCUGGGGAAUUACUACUGAAAGCACUGACGUCUGACAAGGCUAGUCUCUUCACUACUGCCCGACUCAACGCGAUGUGUUCUACUGCGAGGCGUGAGCAAUAUAGAGUUGUUCUCCUUCCGGUCUCGACAUUAUUACAUAUUUCAAAAAAAGAUGUGAUACGAAUAUGCGGGAAAAACUUGAGUCAUGGAACUUUUUUUAAAUUGAGUGGAAAAUCUGGAAAUGACAUGGAAUUAUAUGUAAAAUAUCGAUUUCGGACUCACAUGCUUCCGUAAUUCAAGGAAGCACCAGAAAUGGAAGUAACAUAUUUUUCAUCAACGAUAGAUUAUCAUCGAAAAAGAGAGGAAUUAAUGCAAACAACCAACUUUAAUUAUUCGAAACGACCAAUUUUUUGUGAAAUAUUCACAGAAUUUCGUCCACAAUCGAGAGGAACAACCAUUCACAUAAAACUAUUGUCGUUGAGAAAGUUUCGCCAAAACUGCAAGUAUAAUUAUUUUAAAAUGA